rnacentral:tRNA from 1 species
GGGGAUGUAGUUCAGUUGGUAGAACGUAUGCUUUGCACGCAUAAAGUCAUCGGUUCGAAUCCGAUCGUUUCCA